rnacentral:ncRNA from 2 species
AAAAGGGAAAAACUCCGAGCCAUUUUUUCUAAAUCCUGAGCAAUCAGGACAAGAGAUAUGGCCGUUAGGUGACUCUGGAAACGGAAUCGCCCCCCGUGUUCGGAAAGGAGAUAAUGUGUAGGCUUU